CCUACGGGAGGCAGCAGCGGGGAAUCUUGCCCAAUGGGCGAAAGCCUGAGGCAGUAACGCCGCGUGCGGGAUGAAGGCCCUUGGGUUGUAAACCGCUUUCAGCAGGAACGAAACUGACGGUACCUGCAGAAGAAGCCCCGGCCAACUACGUGCCAGCAGCCGCGGUAAGACGUAGGGGGCGAGCGUUGUCCGGAUUUAUUGGGCGUAAAGGGCCAGUAGGCGGCUGGGCAAGUCGGAUGUGAAAUCUCCAGGCUCAACCUGGAGGGGCCAUCCGAUACUGCUCUGGCUGGAGUGCGGUAGAGGAGCAUGGAAUAUCCGGUGUAGCGGUGAAAUGCGCAGAUAUCGGAUGGAACACCAGUGGCGAAGGCGGUGCUCUGGGCCGUAACUGACGCUGAAUGGCGAAAGCGUGGGUAGCAAACAGGAUUAGAUACCCUAGUAGU
rnacentral:rRNA from 1 species